UACGUAGGCAGCAAGCGUUGUUCGGAGUUACUGGGCGUAAAGGGUGCGUAGGCGGCCCUGUAAGUAUGGUGUGAAACCUCCCGGCUUAACUGGGAGGGUGCGCUAUAGACUGCGGGGCUCGAGUGUGGGAGAGGAAAGUGGAAUUCCUGGUGUAGCGGUGAAAUGCGUAGAUAUCAGGAGGAACACCGGUGGUGUAAACGGCUUUCUGGACCAUAACUGACGCUGAGGCGCGAAAGCGUGGGGAGCAAACAGG
rnacentral:rRNA from 1 species